rnacentral:lncRNA from 1 species
UAUUUUAUAAAGCCAUCAGGUGUCAAUUAUCUUGUAACAGAGGAAAAAAAUAUCACUGAAUCAAUACAGCCCAUUCUGGGAAUGCUUGGCUCUCACCUACUUCCUGGUCCUCUGUGAUGUGAAUCUCCUCCAGUGAAGGCCUUCAGUCCCCUCUCUUCUUCCUCUUUGGAAUAAGAGUGUUUACUGUGUGACAUCACAGGUUGGAAGCCUGUGACAUUGUCUUCUGUUUCACACGGUGAAGCUGCCAGCCUGCUUUGAGUGCUAGUAGGGACUCUGAAUUUGGACUUUUGAGUGACACUAGAUCUUUUAAAACAUUGGCUGCUCUUGGAGUUGGACUAGAUGCAUUUUCUAGAUAUGAGGAGGCUUUACCACGUGUUCCUGACACCACGGCUGUGUACUGACUGAGGGUAUCCACACAUACACACAGCACAGCAGCUGCAGCUGAGUUCUAUGUGGACCUCUGUGUAAGCAGUCCUGAGCAAGGAGGACAGAGGCCCUUACUGAAGGUGAGGGUAGAAUCAACUGGAAAGUGAAUCUCAACUGAGGAAAUGUCGUCAUCGGAUUGGUGUACAGACAUGCUGUGGGGCAUUUUAAUUGUCGAUAUGGAGGCUCCAGCUCACUUUGAACAGUGAUAUCCCAGCAAGAUGGUCCCGGGUGUUAGGUCUGAAAGAUGAGGGGGAUGUCUAAGAACACAGGCCGAGCAAGUCAUGGGAAGCAAACCAGUCUGUCUGGGACUGGUGUCUGCCGAGGCAUUGAUCCACAGCAUCCCCUGAGAGUCUGACCUUCACCUGGCUGCUGAGUUCACCAGAGCGCAGUCAGUCGUGUGAUCGUCCUUGAGGACAAAGAGGCACCUUGUGAUUAAAAAUCACACAGACCCUGAGAUGGAGUGGAUCAGCCUAACAACCUUGAAGUCUCCUACGAUUUUUCACCGAGGAAAUAAUGAACACACACAUCAUGAAGAAUUACGCAGCGAGGAGAGCAACACCCUCACUUUAAGAAGUCUAGACUCAGAAAUAUGAAUGUCUUUGUCCCCAAAUAUGCCAGCUGGGAGCUGUGCUCAUCAAUCACUUCAGAAAUGGUUUCUUCCAAAUAAACGACCUCUCAUACUAGGCCACCCGUCUCCCUGAGUCUGGAUGAGUGACUGGUGCAGGGGGGUGUGGCCAGUGUGCUGGUCUC